CUACGGGCCGCUCCGGUGGGGAAUAUUGGACAAUGGGGGAAACCCUGAUCCAGCAAUGCCGCGUGUGUGAAGAAGGCCUGCGGGUUGUAAAGCACUUUCGGUUGGGAGGACUGCUUCUAGCACUAAUAUUGUUGGAAGUUGACGUUACCUUCAGAAGAAGCACCGGCUAACUCCGUGCCAGCAGCCGCGGUAAUACGGAGGGUGCAAGCGUUAAUCGGAAUUACUGGGCGUAAAGCGCGCGUAGGCGGCUAGAUCAGUCGGGUGUGAAAGCCCCGGGCUUAACCUGGGAACUGCAUCCGAUACUGUCUAGCUUGAGUACAGGAGAGGAGAGUGGAAUUCCACAUGUAGCGGUGAAAUGCGUAGAUAUGUGGAGGAACACCAAUGGCGAAGGCAGCUCUCUGGCCUGAUACUGACGCUGAAGUGCGAAAGCGUGGGGAGCAAACAGGAUUAGAUACCCGUGUAGUC
rnacentral:rRNA from 1 species